UGAGGCCGCCGGAGGCCCGGCCGGCCGAGAUGGGACCAGAGCCCUGCGGGGCGGCGACCCAGCCGUCGGUUGCCCUGUGUCAGGGCGUCCUCUCCUCCUCCUUGCCUUGGUCACCGGACUCUGCGCGAGAAGCUGGAGUCCAGGUCCGGGGCUCAGCCAGGUGGAGGUCCAGCUUGGUGACCUUGGGCCAGUCCCUUAACAUCCCUGAACUCGUCUCGUCGCAAGAGUUUGCGAGUUGCCUCACUCCUAUCUCCCGGUUCUGACAAUGCGCACAGCCCAGGGAGCAGAGAGAAGACCAGCAAGCUGGCCUAGCCCACUUCCUCACCACCACCGCCAUGCCAAGGUCCCGGGCCAGCGUCUUCAGCUCUCUAGCCAGCUGCAUCAUCAGCGCCAACCCUGGAGGAGGAGAAGCAGAGGGCCAGGGCAGCAGGGCACCUAUGACCAGGCUGACCAGGGACUGGGUUCCAGAGCUGGGAGUUGAGCCUCCAGAUAAGAACACAGUCCAGCUGCCAUCUUGAUUACAGACUACUGAGAUCCUAAGCAGAGGCCCCAGCUAAGCCAUGCCCAGAUUCCUGAUCCACAGAAACUGUGAGUGACUUCAAGCAAAUUACUGAACAUCUCUGGCCCUCACUCUCCUCAUCUCUAGAAAUGAGAGGACUGGAUUAGAUCAAGACUACUUCAGGUCUCAAAACACAUGGGUCAUAACCAGCUACGGCUCCUAUGGAUUCUGGAUGUGUUCCGGUACUGGGCAGAAAUCUGGCAUCAUAUUGGCAGCCCAAGUGGCUCAGCAGUUUAGUGCCGCCUUCAGCCCAGGGCCUGAUCCUGGAGACCCAGGAUUGAGUCCCACAUCAGGCUCCCUGAAUGGAGCCUGCUUCUCCCUCUGCCUGUGUCUC